rnacentral:rRNA from 1 species
CAGUCGCCACGGUAAUACGAAGGGUGCAAGCGUUACUCGGAAUUACUGGGCGUAAAGGGUGCGUAGGCGGUUGUUUAAGUCUGUUGUGAAAUCCCCGGGCUCAACCUGGGAAUGGCAAUGGAAACUGGACGGCUAGAGUGUGUCAGAGGAUGGUGGAAUUCCCGGUGUAGCGGUGAAAUGCGUAGAGAUCUGGAGGAAUACCGAUGGCGAAGGCAGCCAUCUGGCCUAAUACUGACGCUGAGGUACGAAAGCAUGGGGAGCAAACAGGAUUAGAUACCCCUGUAGUCCCUGUCUCUUAUAA